GGGGUUGUGGCUCAAUUGGUAGGGCGCCUGCCUAGCAUGCAUGAGGUAUUGGAUUCGAUUCUCAGCCCCA
rnacentral:tRNA from 1 species